rnacentral:misc_RNA from 1 species
GUGAAUCAUCAAAUUUUUGAACGCAAAUUGCACUCCCUGGUAUUCCGGGGAGUAUGCCUGUUUGAGGGUCGUUAGAAGAAGAAUCGAAGCAUCGCUCUUUUUUUUGGGGGUGAUCGCGUCGGAAUUGAGCGGUCUUUCAAAUUUUAAUUCAUUUCAAAUUGGCUUAAAAUCCAUCCAUCCGUUCCAAUUAAACCUUAUUUAAGAUCAAUUUUGAUUAAGACCCCC